rnacentral:rRNA from 1 species
GAUGAACGCUGGCGGCGUGCUUAACACAUGCAAGUCGUACGGUAAGGCCCUUUCGGGGGUACACGAGUGGCGCACGGGUGAGUAACACGUGAGUAACCUGCCCACAACUUUGGGAUAACGCUAGGAAACUGGUGCUAAUACUGGAUAUGUGCUCCUGCUGCAUGGUGGGGGUUGGAAAGCUCCGGCGGUUGUGGAUGGACUCGCGGCCUAUCAGCUUGUUGGUGGGGUAGUGGCCUACCAAGGCGGCGACGGGUAGCCGGCCUGAGAGGGUGACCGGCCACAUUGGGACUGAGAUACGGCCCAGACUCCUACGGGAGGCAGCAGUGGGGAAUAUUGCACAAUGGGCGCAAGCCUGAUGCAGCAACGCCGCGUGCGGGAUGACGGCCUUCGGGUUGUAAACCGCUUUCAGCAGGGACGAAGCUUUUUGUGACGGUACCUGCAGAAGAAGCACCGGCUAACUACGUG